GAUGUCUUUGAUCUACCUCUCCGGAUGGCUAGGGGUCAAAUAGAAGAGAGUUUGCGCACUAAGAUGGCUUCCAUAAAGGGAACACAUGGUUCAGUUACAAGAUGUGCCUAAAGGAGCAUAUGUUACUUCUGAAGGAACCGAGAGAGAAAGCUUGAACUUGAAGCUCAGCUUGUCGAGGCAAGAAGCAUAAUCCAAGAACAAGGAGUCCAUAAUGUGUAAACAUCUCCUAAAAUCAGAGAAGCGAAGGUAUUUGUGUCUUUGAAACAAAUAACGAUUGACAAACUUGUUGCAGAUAAUCCUUAGUUCCAUUGACAGCUGAGGUAUACUUAUAGACUUAUCUCUAUUGCAUAUCUUUGUAACACCCAUGGGCGAAUCUAGACUGUUUGAUGGGUGGGUGCACUAUUGCUAUUAAAAAACCAUAGAUGCAUAUGAAAAAGAUCGAACCAUGGGAAGUAUGGGUGCACAAGGUGCUUUUUACCAUAUGAACUAAGAUAAUUUUGAUGUUUCUGUAUACAAAAUUUUGAACUUUAAGAUAAUUGUGGGUGCACUUGCCCCCACACCUUACAACCUGGCUUUUACACCCUUUCUUCUUUUUGGUCUAUUGAUAUAGUGAAUCUACAGGUGGAGUAUGAAAAUGUUGUAACUCAAAAACGAUGGAUCCAAGUGAAGGAACUUUGCUGAAGAGAUUGCCACAACAUGUGUAUUUUAUUCACCGUCACCAAGCCAUCUUCUUGGAUAUCUAAAUAUGUACAGCUUUUAGUUGUAUCAGUAAUAGCGAUCCUUUCUCCUUUUUGGAUAUCAAAUCUUAUUAUCAUCAUAUUGUAUGAUCCACUCCAGUAAUUUGUACAAAUGAAUCAAAGCUCUAGGAGGAUUAGUAGAAAUGAAGACAUGCUUAACUUGACAUACGAAAUUUCUUUUCAAUGCCGAUACUCUAGCUUAAACGUUAGCUUAGUGUUAAGAACUUAAGGUUUUAUAGAACACAAAAGAUCAUGUCAUUCUCUGUGUUGAUUGAUUGAUUUUUAUCAUACCAAAACAUCGAUAUUUAUAUACUUUGAUGGAGUUCCUUAAACUAUAGAAAUUACUCAAUUAAACAAGGCAAUCUUGGUUGUCAUCAGUUGUGACUGUUUGUCGCAAGUGUGAUUGUCUGGACUGAUAUCUCACUAAAACCGGUGAAACCACCCGGAUUCGAGUCUCGGCCACUGGAGAAUUAAUAUUUCGGCAUCGCCAUGGAGGGACAGAGGACCGACACACAUAGUAACACAUGACUAGUAUGGACCACUUCUGUGGGGUCAGGAUACCCAUGUAUAAUUUUAAAAAAAAAUCAAUGUAGAAUGUACAAAAGCUUAUAACUACUCUCUCUAUGAAAAAAAUAUUUUUUUAUUUGGUGUUUUUGACCAUUUGUAUUAUAUAGUAUGAUUCUUUAUUCCUUUGAUUUUUUUAAUUAAUGCAAUUUCAUAUAAAGGGAGGCAAACAAAUAAUUUUUAAAACUAGACGAAAAGCUGAACCGGAUAGUUAUUUUGAUCAUGGUUCGAUAUGGUUUGAUCUGGUCAAACAUGGUUCAAUAAUCUGGUAUAAUAAAUUUUAGUAUAUUAAUUUAAAAGUGAUAUUAGUAAAUAUGAUUGCACAUAUAUUACCAUCGAGUCCACUGAAAGACCACAUUGAGCAGGGAGCCACGGAAAGACCACAUCGGUUGCACACAUAUUACCAUCGAGUCCACGGAAAGACCAUAAAUUUUUUACUAUUAUUAAUUAUCAAAAUCAAUAGAACUUAUUUUAAAGUUCACCUUGUAAAACACUGUUGAUUAUCGAUUUCACCCGCUUUAGUUAUACGUUUAAAAUAUCCUAGAUAUAUGUAUUUUUAUACAUCCCAAAUCAGUAAAAUUUUCAACUUUAAAAAUGUUACUAAAAUUCUUUGAAAAUAGUUGCAGUGUUUAAAUAAUUAAUUUUUAUAUAUUUAGAUUUACUACCGGAAAAAUGGGCAAACGUUUUGUUAUUCUCAUAUUUUUUUGUUUUGCAACCAAAAUUUAUCUUUUCAUUAUUCAAGAUGAGUUAUAGGUAAUUUCAUGUUGUUUAUUGUUUUUUUUUAUCACAAUAAGAGUACAAAGAAAGAUCUUAGUACCAAUCGGCGAGGGACGAGCUUCUAGUGUCUAGCCAAUAAGGCACCGACGUAUUAAUAUACGAGAAAACACGGUUUCUUGUUCGAGUGUGCUUUGCAAGGAAGUCCGCUUGAGUGUUACUGGAUCUAGGUUGAUAAACCACUUUUCCGCCCUGAUAAGACGCCCAAAGGGAUUUAAACUCAGUAAGUUCAGCUGCAAAGCUAGAUGUUCUUCUGAAUUUGUGAUCAUUUUGACUAACUCUUGGGAAUCACUAACAAAGUAAUCGCAGAACCGCUGAUGGUGAGAUAAACAUUUCAAUGCUCAUACUAAACUCUUUAGCUUGGUAUGUAGGGCCAAAUUAACUUAUGGCAAACUUGAAGGCUGAGGAUAUCUAUUGAUUCAUCCUACUCCACUCGUGUUUCCGUCAUUCUUCCAUGAUCCAUCUACUCGGCAAGUAAAUGUGGGUAGGUCUGGAGGGUUCCAUGGUAUGAAAACUGUGGCACUAUCGCUUGGUUCGGUCUCCUCAUUGGCCAGAACAAUGCAUUACAAUUCCAUGUUGUUUGUUGUGUAUGUUUUCUGAUGAAUAUUAGUGAAAUUUAAUGUCACAUGUUACAAAAAGGAUUUUUCCCCCAAAACAAAUAAGAAAUUGAAAAUUUUGAUAACCGAUGAAUAAAAAGCAAAAAACAAAAUGAAUAUAGUGUAUACAUAAAUUUUUUUUAAAAAGUAUUAUGUUUGGGUUUCUAUUUAUUCUAAAUGCAAUAAAAUCAUAUAUAUUUUUAUAAAAAGAAAUUGUCAUAUAUAAAUAUUAAAUAGGUUUGAUGUUCAUUUUAAUUUUUUGAUAACAUAUAUAGUAAUUUAUUAUGUUGAUAUUUGAAUUCAUACUUUUGUAUUAAUAAAUAUCCACAAAUCAUAAGAUACUCCGCAUUUGCGGACAAAACGACUAGUAAAAAAAUUCAAAUAUAAUCUAAUUUUAUGUUCAUAUGGAUGGUUUAUAGAUUUUUGAUAGUUUUUUGUAGUUUUUAUCAGUUUAAUAACUUUGAGAUCCAAUCCGGCUAUGUGAUCGGUUUACGGUCAAAUCCGGUUCAACCAUUGGGUCGGUCCGGUUUAAAAAAAAACUGAUGAAAAUUGAAAACAUCUUUUUCUGGCGGCAAUUGAAAACUUCUUAAUAGCCGUGCAACAACCGUAAACAACAACUAAUCGAAUUAGAGAGAAUAGUACUUUUAUUCUCCUGCCAACCAUAACAAUUUCAUGUUUGUAACAUAAGUUAUGUACUUAUGUUACGUUAAAUUACCUACUCGGCUGCGUGGUUACGUGAUUAUAACUUCUGUUGGAUUAGGCAUAAUUAAUUCUUAUAUUUUCCGUAAUAAACGGAUUCUGUUAUAGUAAUUGCGUGAUUAGUGAAAUGAAUCCAAAUGGGUCAAACGCUUUACGAGAAAAUAAUCUUUUUUUUUCUAUGAAAUUGAGGAGCACGCAAAGUUUGGCGUCUCUUAAGGGAUGUUUAUUUGCCUCACAAGCGCAUAUGAAAUGACACCGUCCUUAGACUGCACUAACGUGCCCUUCAUAUUAUAAAUGUAGUCUAGCUAUAGAUUGGAAAUGAGGAAUAAAGGAAUAGCUUUUUUUCUUUAAACAACCAUAUACGUGCAUAUAAAGAGUUUAACACAUACACACGCAAACCACUUAACUGAAUAGUUCAUGUGUACAGGGAAGCAAACCACUUAGCUGAUGGUUUGGUUAACCUGGCUUUUUCAUUACCGUUUGGUUUUCAUAGGUUUGACAUUGCACUUUUAGAGAUUGUUACGUUAUUGAGUGAGGAUGUUGAUGGACCUCUACGGUCACGACAGAUUCGUUUGUAGUUUGAUUCUGUUUCUUUAAUAAAUAUUGGGAGGCUUUCUCCCAAUUUCUUACCCAAAAAAAACACAUACACACGCACACAAAAAACUAGUAUAACAUAUAAGGAACUCAAAUAUUUAUUUGGAUGAUACGUUUACCAAUUAUAAAACAUUAACUGCUUUCCUUGUUAAACGACUUACCGCAGUAUUUCCCGGGCUGAAAAAUAUACACAAUAAAUGUUUUCGAUAGUAAUGGUUGUUUCUUCUUUUGGCUAAUUGAGUUUCUUUUUUUUUUCCGUCAAAGUUUUGAUAUUAAUGGAGAAUGGGCCAAGCCCAAUUACAAAACUGAAAACCGCAUACACUACAAUUCCGAAAAAGACAACAAGCCCACAGGCCAACCAAGAAGAGUUAAUGGGCCAGCGACCCAACACCCAAACCACGAGACACCCGACGACUUCGGCUGGUCCACGCGUCGAGGAGACCGGAUACGUGGAAUGAUCAGGACCGUCGGAGCGACACGCAUCACUUCCGUCUCCACUCAACCGUCACCGCUUGGAAACAUCGCCGGAGCUGCCUCAGUUUCUUAAAUUGUUUGUUUAGAAUAAAUAUUGGGUUUUGCUACAUAAAUGCUGAAAUAACAAAAUAUGUAUGAACAUCGAUAUUCUUAUGAAUCUAAUCCUCCAACUCAAUCGAUGAAACCACUAAACCACACCUAUUUUUAUUAACUUUGAUGUUAAUGAUAAGAAAUUAAAUUCAUCGUGUAUUUACAUUUUCAUGUGCACAAGCAACCAAGUCACCAAAGAAAUAAGCAAUAGAGCUUAUAAAGUCAAUCCCUUAAUUAUUAAAUUGAUAAAAAAAAAAGACAUAAUCCUCAAACUCAUUACAUGUAAUAUGCGUCUAAGAUUCACAUAGUCAACUCGGCCAACCUUAAUAUCAAUUUAAAUAUAUUCUUUCCUUAAUUGUAUAUACAUUUAUUUUCAUUCUAUAUCAUCUCCGUAUAUCUCACGUCUCAUAUCUUCUGUGAUUCAUCGAUCAUAUAAUAAUAAACUUCUCACGUAUCUCAUAGCUUUUCUCUCUAUCUAUACAAACUAGCAUUCAUCAUGAAUCAAGAACACAAUAACACAGCUCCAACACCAAAAGCUUCGUUAUUAUUGAUGGAAGAUAAUCUAUGCAAGAGAGGAUCAGUCAUUUCAAGAAACUCCUCGGUCGGAGUCUCUUCUAGAAUCUUUUAUUAUUAUCAUCAUCGGGGGCUCGACGGUGGUGUUCCAUUCAAGUGGGAGAUGCAGCCUGGAACGCCCAUCAAUCCCCAGCCGGAAGAAAUAGUUCCUCCGCUUACUCCUCCUCCGGCGCUUCUCAGCCGUAGCCUCACUAAACCCUCCUUCGGAGAAUCUAAUAAACAUUCUAUUUUUCCGGCGAAUCUUAAGCUUUGGAAAUGGAAGAAUCUUCGUCAUAGAUAUUUCUCUAAAUGGCCAAGCCAAAGCAUGCUUAGUCGAGGUAAUUAAUCGUUAUGUUUAUCACAACUUUUAUAUGUUAUUACAUGACUACUUCGCAAAGUAAAUAGUAUAUUGCUUUUAUAAUUAAGUGCAAGCCAAAUAGUUAUAUCUUUGAAAUUAAGUUUUGAUUGAUAGCAAUAUAUAUGAAAGAAAUGUGCCAAACAAAAUAAUCCUGUUAAAAAGCGGAAUCACAUAUUAAUUGUGGAAUGUUAUGUAUCUUUGUCAACUAAUCUUGCAGAAUCAAGUAAUACAAAAAAAAUUGUGUAAUUGGUAAAAAUCUUAAGUUAAUCAUUUUCCUAUUGAAUCUAUUCUGUAAAUCAUAACUUAUAUAUUGUUACUAGAUACUCAAUGUGACCCUUUUGUCUUUUUAAAAUUCAUGUAAAAUAAUGUUUUUAUCAUCUAUAUAUAUGUAAAUUAUAUUAUAGAUAAACGUUUGCAUGUAUUAUCCAUAUAUCAGACUAUAAGAAUGCUCGUCACGGUGAUUCAAGCUCGUGUGGUGAAUCAGAGAGAGUUGAGGAGUCUGAGGAUUACAGGUCGAGCUCUUCUUCUUCUUCUUCAUCGUCAUCUUCCUCAAAAGAUCGAAAAUUGGUGAAGGCAUCACCACGUCAAUGGUUUAGCGGGUGUCCACCUCGAAAUCUAAAGAGUAGUACCGGUUUUCGUUAGAAUUCUUCUCUUGAAUUAUCGUAUUGUACCAAAUUAGAAGUUAGAUUACAAGGAUAAAAAUGAAAAAUUAUAUAGAUUACGUCGGAAAUGAUCAGACUAUUGUAUAAACAUUCUUAUUUUUCAACAUUAGUUUUUUUCUCAAAUAUUAAAUAAUUGUUAUCAUUUUUUUGUGCAACCAUUAUUUUAGAAUUAAAAAAAAGAUUGGGCCUAUAAUUGGCCCCGAAUCCAUUACAGAAGAUAUAUUAAGUUUUAAAACCCGUUUUGCUAGAAAAUCGGUUCUUGAAUUUCAAGAACGAAAGAUAUGAGAGAAAAUGAAAAAGUCAAAUGCCGAAGAGGUCUAUUUAAUUUCAGUGAUGAUACCAAAAAUUUCCAUGAUUUGGAGUUUGUUUGAUUACUCCGAUGAACGUUAAAAAGUAUAUUUUGAAGUUGAGUAUGUCAAAAUCUGUUGUUGUUAGAGGAUCCGAUUUAAUUGCUAAGUCUCAGCUAUUAAAGGCGAGACUAGAGUUUUAUCACCGCAAGCAGUUUUUCAAUAAACAAUUUAAUGACAUUUUCAAAUACAUAGGUUAUUUGGAUAUUUUUAGGUUUCUACGAAUUUAUUUGGAUUUGGAAGGAUAUGAUUCGAAUCAUCUCCGGAAAUUUGUAAUAUCCGAAUGGAGUGCAGUUUAAAAACUCAACAAAUUGUAGUUCCAAAAAAUGAUUCAUAUUCGAGUGGGUAUUUAGAUGUCCAUGUCUAAUUGAUUUUGUAAAUAAAUAAAAAAUUAUUUGUUAUCUGAUUUGAAGUGUUGUUACCAAUGAAAUAAUUUUAUUCAAAUCUGUGAAAUUAUUAUGGUUAACAAGUAAUAUAAAUGUUGUGGAAUUAUUAUAUUAAAUACAGUUAAUGAAAUUAGUUAGGAAGAGUGAAAAAGAAAAAUGUAAUAAAAUAAUUUUAAAUAUAAGUUUUGUUUUAUACUUUGUAAUAAAUGCUGUUAAAUUAAUUUUUUUUUUAAACAAUAAAUAAAGGGGUCGGACUUAGUUAAAAAUGCUUGAAUCUGUAAAAAAAACAUCUAAAAAUAGGUAAAUAUUAUUUUCUACUUCAAUUUUAAUAGAAUAGAUAAAGUAAUCUACCUGAACAGAAUUACUAUUUAUUAAUAGAGCUGUUUGGGUGUAAAUGUUAAAAUUAUUAAGGUUUAUUUUACGGAUAAAGUGAUGAAUAUUUAAGUUUCCACGUAGUCAAGCUGUUAUUCAUCUGUGAUACUUUAUAAUAUACACACUAGGUGGAGACAUGCGCCUUGCGCAGGAUUAAAAAAAUAUAAAUGAAACUCAUAUUAUCUACAAAAAAUAGUUCAUUAUCAUUAGUUUAUCAACAAACCAAACAUGCACUCACACCUGCAUUUAUAAUCUCAUCUAAUGUUAUUAGGUUGGUAUUCUUGGAGUACAAAUUAGUAUAAAGGCUAAUAUAUAGUGUGAGUGACUAAGAGUUUAGAUAUCACCACUAUGAAUAUUUUGUAAAUCAGUUCUCCAUAUGAUUUUUCAUCCUAAAUUCACGUAUCCUUUGAAGCAUGAUAAUUAUUAUAUUAUUAUUACCAAAUAUGGGUACAACUAUAUAAACAAUCAAAUUUUGACCAAUAAUUAAGGUCUUGUAUAAUUUUAUAGAUGUAAAUGAAAGUAACAUAUCAUUUCCAUUUAGGAACGUUACUAACAUCCCAAUCACUAAUAAUUGUAAUUUAUUAGAAAUUUCCAUAUCUACGAAUGAUUAUAAUUUGGCCUUCUAAAUCAUGUUUGUAAUGUACACUCUCGCUAAUGGAUAUUGAUUACGGUCAACUAAAUGUUCUUACCACACAUUUUUUUUUUUUAUCAGUUAAGUAAAUAAGAUGAACCGUAGGCAUUUUGAUUUUUUUUUCAUGUAAAUCUGUCAAUUUACAUGACAUGUUCAUACAAUCAUGUGGGUCUCCUCAUACGCGCUUCAUUUGAUCUCUAAAACUUAAUCUAUAUAAUCAUUUCAUAUAUUGCACAUAAUUUUUUUCUAAAUGAAGUUUAUGAGUAAAUACGUUAUAGUAACACUAAAAAUAUUGUUUUUUAGAAAUGUUAAUAUGGAUUAUAAUAGUAUAUUUUGGAUACAAAUAAUCGAUGAAACAUGUUUGUUAUUCAUAUAUAUAUAUAUCGUAUUGUUAAAUAUCAAGCAUAUGACUAUAAACAAAAAUGAAUGAUACGUAUAGUUAUAUGGUCUUUUUAUGAAAAUAAAUGAUUCAUAUAGUUAUUGUUAAUAAUUGGUAUGACUAAUGGUAUUUUUUGUAAUUAGUCUAGUGAUUGAUGGUUUGAUAGUUAAGUAUUGUGAGAGAGUCUAUGGUGGUGACACCUAAACAAAAUGGCAUGUUUGUAAAUAAUUUACAAAGUAAAGGUUAGAUUUUAAAAAUGCUUCUUGAUUAAUAAGUAAGUGAUAGAAAAGGUUUUAAAAACGGUGUAAUUUUGUAUGCAAGUCAGUUAGUAUACACUUUGUUCAGUGUUAUACUUUUAAUUUUCUUUCUGAUAUAAAUGCCACUUUUAUGUUUUAAUCGUUACCUGUGAAUGUUAACGUUUGUGAGUUUAUCUUAUCGUUAUUGCAUUGUUUCUUUUAUAAGGAUGAAAAAUUCGAAAAAUAAUGCGGUGUGCAGAUCUAUUUAAGGACAUUGUGAUCCUAUGACUGCGACUAGAUGAACCGGUGAACAUUGGGUGUGCAUUCUGAUUUUAGUAUUUAUAUGACGAGAUGAAAAAUGAUAUUUUAUGUUUGUCAUUGAUCUUUUGAAAAAUCCCGGUUUAAAAGUAUUGUAAAACUAAAGAUAAUUAUUGCAGGAGUAUGGGAUCUUAAGAGCAGGAUCUAUUUGUUGGUUCUUAAGUUAGCAUCUCUUUAUUAUCCUCUCCCCUAUACAAAUAAAUUAUUCAAGAAGUAAUUUAUUUAUGUGUAAUCACUAUAUUCAUUUUUUUAAAACAACAUGACUUCUAAAAAGCUAUAUAGUAUCAAGCUAGUUGUAACAUGAAUAAUUUCAUUUAUAUAAAUUUAUGUUUUGGUAAAUUUUAUAUAAUUUGGUAAUAAUUCAUAUUAACAUUAAUAAAAGUAAACUAAUAUUAUAUUUAUAAAUACAACAAUAUUUCCACAACUUAAAAAUAAAUAAAUAAAAUCAAAAAUAUUAUUUGAUAAAUGUUUCUUAUAUAUCAUUAUCACAUUCAUUCUCACAAAAAUGACAUAGCUGCUAUAAGAUAUGACAUGUCAUCAAGAUUAAUGUAACAAACAAUUUCAUCGAUGUAAACUCAUAUUUUUGGGAAAAUUUCUAAAAUAUGAUAAUAAUGGCAUAUAUCAUUAUUAAUUAAGUCAAAAUAUUUAGAUAGUUAAAUUUUGAAAUUUUAACCAAAAUCAAUUAAUGGUGUAAAAAUUAAUUUAAGUUUCUAUCAAUUUAUUCACAUUUAAUCAUGAUAAAGUAUCUAAGUUGAAAAAUUGACUGGUAAUUUACGAUAUUAAUUAAUAGAUUGAUUUUUGUAUCAUUUUAAUGUAUCUUAUAUAAAGCAAAAAUUCAUAUUUACUAUAUAUAGAUAUCAAAAUAAAUAUAGCCAUUAAAUGUACUAUAAUGGUUAUUUUUUAGGAAAUACAAAUUAAAACUACAAAUAAUUGUUUUAUAGUUUUAUUUGUCCUGCCUUCUCACUAGUUUCUGAUCUCCGACGUGAAUAGUGUAUUUCGGUCGAUGGAGUGGGCUUCCACAGCUACCGUCGGUCCGGUUUUUGCUUUUGUUUCUUUCGAUUUGCAUGUUCUUGAGGGAGGGAGAGGGACCGUUGUUUCCUCCCAACUUUUGUUUCCAUCUGAUCAACUCUUUUGACUCCGGGAAGUGGGAGUUUAGUCAGUUCCGGGGUGAAGUCUUUAAUAAGUCUUGUGUCGCCAGCUUUAGGUUAUCAACACAUCUAAUCAUGGUGAAGUUUAGUUAUAUGUGUUACCGAUUUGUCUGCUUCGGUUUUUUGAUGAGAUCUCUAAUAGAUCAAUCGAAGCUCUCCGAAGACGAAGCUAUGGUGAAGAAGACAAUCGGGAUGGAGGUUUGGUUUUAUCUGGUGUUUGGUGACUUGCUGGCUCAGGAUGAGAUCUCGAAGAUUUCGAUAGGAAGUUUUUCGUAGGAUGGAGCUCGGCCGUGGAGGAUGCAUGUGGGGUUCCAAAGUGAUUCCGGAGAAACACUGUUUGGUUUUUCCACCGCGGGGAAGAUGAAGGGAUAUGACGACAUGUCUUAUUCUCAUUGUUGAGGAUUAAACACGUGCUUUUGAUGUCUAGGGUUUGGUUCGGUGGGUAUUGGGCUUAGGUUUUUGGGUUUUUGUGGCCAAUGGUGUUUUAAUGUAGGUGUGGACUUUUCCUUGGGUUGUAAUAUAUAGUUUUUCGAGUUUGGUCCAGUUGGGCCUUGACCUUUAAACAAAAAAAUUUCAGAUGGUCAAAAAAAAAGUUUUAUAGUUUUAUUUUUUAAACCAAUAAAAUUAAAGUCUAAAGUUACUUAUAUUUAAUAUCGAUUAAAAUAAAAAUUAUUAUAAUCCUGCAAUGGGUAGAAAGUAAUGAAAACAAAAGAAAUAAGAAAGAAUGACAAUCAUUAUUUUAUUUUUUUGGUAAAAGUGACAAUCGUUAUUUAUUUGACGAAGUUUUAAAAAACCAAUAGUUGCCUAUAUUUGAUAUGUCAUGAGUGUUUUCAAAUUUUCUCAUUUAAUUAAUCAAUUUAUAUUGGUUCUAUCAAAACUAAACUGAUAAGAUACCCAUGAGAAUAUAUCUAACCAUGGAACUGCUUUAGGGCAUCUUCAACCUAAACUUAUUUUUCCUCUAUAAUUUUCACUAAAAUAGAGUAAUUUAUUGUUUCUGGUGAUCUGAAUAAGAACAUCCGCAAUUCAAACCUAUUUUUUUCUAUAAUUUCUACUAAAAUAGAGUAACUAUAUUAUAAAAUAAAUUUUGCUUCAAUAGUUUAUUUUAUAAUAUAGCUAAUCUAGAAAAUAGAGCGAUGACACUUUUUUACUUUAUAUUUAGAAUUAAAAAAAUAAAAUUCCUCUAUUUUCUCUUGUAUAAUAGAGUAAAAAAUAGGUUUGGAUUGAAAAUACUCUUAUUCAUUCAUAUCACGAGAAACAACGAAUAUACAUGAAGAUGAUUAGAGUAAUUUGUAUCAGUACUGGAGAGAGCAAAUCUAUUGGCACUGUGACGAUGGGCCACUUUUUAUUUAGGCCCAUAAGAGAUGGAGAGGUCAGAGAUUAUAAAAUAUAAUGUAGUGCCUCUAAUCAGAUAAGCUUAUAAUAAACGGGUUUGAAUUAGGAAUAGAUGAUGCAAUGUAACAACGCAAUAACGACUAAAUGUCGUUGGGCUCUGCUUCUAUUAGCUCAUGACUACUAUGGUAUGGCAGACCAUACAUACAGGAGCCUGGAGCCGUCGGAUAGACGGCCAACAAGAGACUCAUCAUAUUUGAUGAGAGUACUCCAAACGAAAUGAACAGAAUAAAACAAACGCCUAUUUUAGUGUCCAAUAAGCAGCAAAAGGCAAAAGCGAAUGCAUUAUAGAAAUGUUUCCAAGUCAAAAAAGACAAAACUGAACGUAUCAUGCGAUUAUUUGCAAUUAUAACGAAAUAGUAGGAUAACAAAGCGAACGUGGGGAAUGAUUUGAUGUAGCUUCUCGAAAUCCGACCCAUUUUAUAUCCUCCACUUUUUAUUUCGUUAUAUCUCAAAGAAAAUAAUUGAGAUUACAUUUUUUUUCGGAAAAUUAAUUUCCACGAUACGAAACCCGCUAGCUAUGAUUCUGGAACCGGCAGUAAGGUGUGUUUUAAUGGCUCGGUUGAAUAAAUUGGCUGCAGAUAUCUUCUUCAGAAAAUAGUCAUGAGAGAAAUAAAAUUUAAAAACAUGUAUUUUUUACAACAUUUUAAAAUACGUAUUUUAUAUAAAAUAACUAAAUGUUUCGGCGCCGAACUUCGGCAAAAUUUUCUUUUUUCUUGUCCACCUUUUUCUUUUUCUUUUUCUUUUUCUUAUAUCUUUUAUAUAACUUUUUAAUUUGCUUUUAUCACACCUCGUAUAUUCCUUUUCCCUUCCUACAUCUAUCGCAAGUUGGAACUGAAAACUGAUCAGAUUUUUUGUUUUAUUAGAUAACUAAAAGCCUAAAACUAUAAGAAAAAGAUGAAAUGCACAUCUUCAUAAAGUACGUUAUGUUGUUUGAUACCUUCAUUCUUCAACAUAUCACACAUGAUAUCAUGAAAUCCAAUGUCUGAAAGAUCGGCGUAAUAUUUACCAUAAAAUUGAUAUUACGUUAAUGGGCUCAUGGGGGGACAAGCGGUGCGACCGCCCCGGACGCAAAUCCGUGUCCCCCUAUAUAAUACUAAUUAAGAGGUCCAAUUUUUUAUAAAUCUAUAUUUUUAUAUAUAAAAAAAUUAUAAAUAUAAUAAAUAAAAUUGAAAAGGGUCCAAAAUUAUUUGAUAUGUACAAAAUAUACAAAAUAUUACUGAUUAAAUUUAAAAAUAUUUUAAACAUUAUCUGUAUAUAAAUUUUAGAGGGUAAAAAAAAUUUCUUGCCCUAGGAUUCUUAACAGUGUUGAGCGGGUAUAACAUUGUUCAAAAGAAGAGUAAACUGAUAUUACGUUAAUGAAAAAAGAUUCUCAAACUCACUGAUAAAAUUUACAUACACGUAGAAAAUCUUUUUACUACGUUUCUCUUUAUAACAUCUGAGUUAAAAGUUAAAACUAGGAAGGUGACAUAAUAUUUUUUUUAUUUGGGAGCUUAACAUCUGAGUUAAUCGUAUAGUGUGAGUCGUUUAGUGGGAAAGUAAACGACACCGUGAUCUGCUUUGUUGGAAUAUUGCCCUAAAUAAUAUGUUAUAUUAUAUUUAUGUUGCUCUAAAAUUAUAAAAUAAACUUGUGGUUUCACAUUCUUUGACCGCACGUUGUAUUAGAUAUUUCUUCCUUUUUGAUAAACUACAGGCCGCGACCGCUUUCAGUGGAGAAGGUGGCAUAUACUACUAUGAGAUAAUAGAACAAAAUAAUAGAGUGUUUAAUUUUUUUAUUUUUUUAAAAAGGAUUCGUAUUGUAUAUUACUAAUAAGGAAAAAUGCUAUGAUAAUUGAACACGUGAUGCACCGAAUUCAUGACGUGACCCUGGAGACCAAUACGUGCUUCAUCAAAAGCAGGCAUAUCUUUAAAUUUCAAACUAUUUGAUCAACGAGUUGAAUUGUUGUAAUUAGAUAAACAUAUAUAAAAGCUAAAACAUAUAUAAUGGGUUUUAUUAUAUCACAGAUAUAUAUGAAAUAAGUUCAAAAAAAGAAGAAGAUAUAUAUGAAAUGCGUCUUAUGUAUUUGCACCUGUCAUAAUGUCCUGUUCAAAAAAAAACGUCAAAAUGAAAUCGUAUCCUCGAACAAAUUAUGAUGUCAUAAUCUUACACAUGCAGUUUAAUAAUAUAGUACUCAACAUAAAAUUAAAUAUUAAAUAUUUCUCAAAAGUUAUACAAUAUAUAGGUUAAUCGGUAAACCAUGUGCAUGUAGCUGGGUGACGGAUAUCAUCUCAGUAUUCUUAAAAGAUAUGGAUUCAAAUUUUUGCUAACUCAGAUUAUAUAUAUGUGUUGAUCUGCAGAUAUGAACUAUGUUUUAGAUUUUAUUUGAAUAUUCUGAAAAAAUUUAUACGUAGAGAUUAGUUUGGGUUUUGGAUUCAGAACAUUUCCAACCAUUAAUACUAUUUUAGUAUCAAAACCAUAUCAUUUUAGUGUAAUUUCAACAUUAAAACUAAUAUUUUUUUUAAUCAUAACACUAAAUUUCACACUAAAACUAUUUUAUACUAUUAUUAGUAUUAAAUUUUUUAUUCAUUAUUUAUUUAAUUGUAUGUUUUAGUAAUAAAAUAAGUGAAUAGUGUUUUACUGGGAUGAAUAGUAUUUUAAUACGGUGAAUAAUAUCACAUUAAAUUUGGUGUCAAAUUUUAGUGUUUCACUAAAAUGAUGUGAUUUUUACAAUUAUAUUGAAAAAGAUUUAGUGUAAAAAUUAUACUAAAAUAGUGUGUUAGAAUUGGAUUGGAGAUGACCUCGGAACAACCAUAGGCUAGAAAAAAAAGAAGGUUAAUUGGUAAAAUAAUGUUGAUGCGUAGAACAAUAAUUGAAGGAACAUAUAAUUGUUGAAAACACGAUAGUGGUGCAGGGUGAAGAGAUAGACAAUGGGAUAAUGCAGCAUGCAGAAGACACGUGUGGAUAGUGGCUGACACGUGUGGGCAGUUAACAUGCAAGUGCAGCCACCAAAACAUUUAUAUAAUUUAACUUAAAAGGUUUAGCAAAUCUCAAACUUCCCUUUUGUAGUAUCACUAGGGAAUCUAACGCUCUUUAGCACAGUCGUUUUGGUUCUAAGCAUUUUCAUUCUAUUACUAUUUUUACUAUUUUUAGAUUUAAAUGCUGCAAUAACGAAAAAUUAUACCGAUGUCAAAAAAAAAAUAUACUUUUUAAAUAAUAUAUAUAUUUUUAAUUUGUUUAUUCUUAUAAAACAGAGAUUGUUAUUUUAUUUUUUAAAUAUAGAAGCAAAAUAAUAUAUCUCUAUUAUGUUUAAAGUUUUUUUUCAAAAUAACCUUUUACCUUUAAAUUUUCAUAAUUAUAACUGAAACAGAUAUUAUUUAGAGAAAUAUAGUUUUAAUAAGAAUAUAAAAUCACACUUUUUAUAUACAUAAUAAUAUUUUAAACAAAUUUCAAAUUUGAAAAUUUAUAAUUUUAUAAAACAUUUGUAAAAGUUAAAAGUAAAAAAAAUCAUUUUCAAAUUUCCUAAAUAUAAAUUACUUUUUGUUAAAAAUAUAACGUGAAAAUAUUUUUUAGAGACAAAGAUAACUUAAUGCAUUGAAAAGAAUCAGAUUUAUAUUUUAGAGUUAUUAUAUUUUAGAGGUAAAAUAGAACAAUAUAUAAGGAAUAAUAAUGCCAAAUAUCUAAUGAUGUAGUCGGUGCCAUGGCUAUUCUAACGUGGGUUUAAAAUCUGAGCUCGCUUUUGAUGAUAAAAACCGGAAAAAAAAAUCAUAACCUUAACGUUAAAUUAAAAUUAUGUUACUAUUCCGUUAAAAUUUUAUAUGUAGAUAAUACAUGUCAGACGAAUUUAUGUAUAAAUUGAUUAUAUUGAAACAAUGUCAUUUUGAUGCUUAGUUCUUUUUUAAACACCAUUUUGAUGCUUAGUUAAAAACAAUAUAUAUAAAUUGUGAUUGCAGAGAGUUGAAACUAUGAUCUAUUCCAAAUCACAUAUCUCCUCCACUUGUAACGUACUGUUUACAGCACAAUAAUUAUUAUAAUAAAAAUUAUAUAUAUUUUUUAUGUUGACAUUGCUCUUAAGCUAAUAUGAUUGUAUUUUUUAGGUCAAUGAUCUUCUCUAGCCUAAAUGUGUAGUUAAGAUCAACAUCGCAAAGUUAGAGGAGAGGAAAGGCGAUAGAUUGAACGAAGUGAAAUCGGAGAGAAUGGAGAGAGAAGGGAGAGAGAUGGGUGAAGGUGGAGAUCCGAUGAGAUACGGGAGAGCAGAGAUGAGUGAGAGGGAUGGACGGAUAUUGGAUGAAUGAAGCGAAAGUGGUGAUGGUGGAAAGAGAGUUUAAGUGCGAAGCUCUGGUAGAGAGACGUGUGAAGUGUUUAGUUUUUGUCAGUUGCUUCCUCUCUUACCGGAGAGCAAUGAUGAUGAGUGGAUGUGCAAAAAAGUUUAUAUUUCUCUUAAACGAAUCAGAUAUACAUGUUAAUUUUGUUAUAAUUAUUAUUGUGCUGUAAAUAAAAAAUAAAAAAUGUAAGUAGAUUAGUGGAUGGAAAUGUUAUGAUUUGGAAUAGGUCAUCAUCAUAUGUUAAAUUCUCUCCAAAUGCAAAUUAUAUUGGAAUAGCUAAGCGUAUAAUUUGAAGAUAUAAUCAAUGUCUAUAAAAUUUGAAGAUAAAUUCGACUGACACAUGCAUGUUAUCAAUGUAUAUAAAAAUUUUGACAGAACAGUAACAAACGUUUUUAAAUUUAACGGAAAUAACGUAUUUGCACAAAACUAAUAAAUUAUAUAUAAAUUUUAAAUUUUAGAACAUGUGGAAUAUGUUUUUUCACCGUCGUACAAGCCGGAUAUAUAUUGAAUAUAUCAUUAUAUUUCAGUAGAUUAUGACCGUUUUCCUUUAAUAAUCACAUACACAUUAAUGUCUAAAACAUAUGCGUUGUGUGCCGACUAGACCUCUCGUUUUAAUAUGCUUAUACUACUCUAUGAGCAUAGUGUUUGUAGAUCAUCACUCCAAAAGUUGGUGUGAUCAAAGUAUUCCCGAAGUAUAUUACUUUUAAACUAAUGUAAUCUCCUCAAUUCGAUAUACGUAUUACGCUGGGAAUACAAUAUCAUCAAAAGGAAGAAUACAGCAUCAUUACAAACAAAAAGAACAAAGCAAAUUGUAAUCUUUUUUUUUUUUUAACACUAGCAAAUUGUAAUGAAAAGGAUGGAAAUGGCGCCAAAGGCCAAAGCAUUGACAUGAACAGUGAGUCCACAAGACGCGCGAGUUGUGUCUUUCUUUUUUUUUUUUAUCAACUGGUAUUAUUAAACAAAGACAAAGUACAAUAAAGACUUAAAAAGGCAAACAUAAAGAUUACAAAGAGGGUCAAAGCCCAAUAACAAAAGAAGGCAAAUGGAAGAUCGUGAUUUUGCCAAGAUAGCUCACACGUGUAGAGCUCCAAACUCGGGAGGAACACGUACGUGUUUUUGAGCAGAGACGUCACCAACUUCACCCAGAGGUAAGUCGUUGCCGGACGGACAAGCCGGCGUUCCACCGGAGACAUACCGGAGACAGGAAGCACGGGAAAGAGAAGCCGGCCACGAGCCGGCCACGACAAGAUUUCGAUUCAGCAUAGAUGGAACCAAAACAACGCUUCGAUCUAUAAACCCAGGACCAAUCGAAUAAAAAGAAAUUAAAACCAAACAAAAGUCUCAAAUCCUUACAAACAAACCAAAUCAUCUUUUAAAAUAUAAGUAAGCUUGAAGAUAAUUAAACCCUAACAAAGAGGGGAGGAUGAAAUAAAUCGAUUUAAAAUUUUUGAUUCGAUUGAAAACUUACGAUUAGAGAAGCGAGGAUGAUUCAGAGAAACUAAGAAAAGAGAAUAAAAAAACGAAACCGGACAAGAUCCAGUAGAAGAAACUACA